UACGGAGGGUGCGAGCGUUAAUCGGAAUUACUGGGCGUAAAGGGUGCGUAGGUUGUUGUAUAAGAUAGUUGUGAAAUACCUGGGCUUAACCUGGGAAUUGCAACUAUGACUGUAUGACUCGAGUAUGAGAGAGGGUAGUGGAAUUUCCGGUGUAGCGGUGAAAUGCGUAGAGAUCGGAAGGAACACCAGUGGCGAAGGCGGCUACCUGGCUUAAUACUGACACUGAGGCACGAAAGCGUGGGGAGCAAACAGG
rnacentral:rRNA from 1 species